rnacentral:pre_miRNA from 13 species
AUCCUGUAUAUUUGAGGCCUUAAAGUACUCUAGCAGCACAUCAUGAUUUACAUACGUUAGUCAAGAUGCGAAUCAUUAUAUGCUGCUCUAGAAAUUUAAGGAAAUUCAUUCAAACGUAUA